rnacentral:rRNA from 1 species
UACGUAGGGCGCGAGCGUUAUCCGGAAUUAUUGGGCGUAAAGAGCUCGUAGGCGGUUUGUCGCGUCUGCUGUGAAAACUGGAGGCUCAACCUCCAGCCUGCAGUGGGUACGGGCAGACUCGAGUGCGGUAGGGGAGAUUGGAAUUCCUGGUGUAGCGGUGGAAUGCGCAGAUAUCAGGAGGAACACCAAUGGCGAAGGCAGAUCUCUGGGCCGUAACUGACGCUGAGGAGCGAAAGCAUGGGGAGCGAACAGG